rnacentral:rRNA from 1 species
AUCGAACGCUGGCGGCAGGCCUAACACAUGCAAGUCGAACGAGUGGCGGACGGGUGAGUAAUGUCUGGGAAACUGCCCGAUGGAGGGGGAUAACUACUGGAAACGGUAGCUAAUACCGCAUACCAUCGGAUGUGCCCAGAUGGGAUGAGCUAGUAGGUGGGGUAACGGCUCACCUAGGCGACGAUCCCUAGCUGGUCUGAGAGGAUGACCAGCCACACUGGAACUGCGACACGGUCCAGACUCCUACGGGAGGCAGCAGUGGGGAAGAUUGCACAAUGGGCGCAAGCCUGAUGCAGCCAUGCCGCGUGUAUGAAGAGGGCCUUCGGGUUGUAAGGUACUUUCAGCGAGGAGGCGUUACUCGCAGAAGAAGCGCCGGCUAACUCCGUGCCAGCAGCCGCGGUAAUAC